rnacentral:lncRNA from 10 species
ACCUCGGGGGUUUCCUGCUUUAUGGCGAAGGGCCAGGGCCCCACACCUUCCGCCUGACAGCCAGCCAAGCUCUUCAGUCCCCCGCCCUCCACCUGCCAGGGAGGCUCCGGGCGUUGUACCUGCCACCACGGGACACAUAUACUCACAGAAAUGAGUUAUUUAAAGAAGACGGUCCAGAUUCCACAGUCCAAAAAAAAAAGAGGUUUGCCCUGCUUCUGAAGGAGUCAGGGUAUGAAUGCAGAGGUCUUCCUGUUGGCUCACAUAUCAGAUCUUCAACGUCAACAUUAAAUGCGAGUGAUGCUUCCCCCUCUGUGAAUGUGGCUUUGGGUAUGGCUAAUCCACACCCUGCACUCUGGCCUUCAGAAGCCCAGGGAGAGAAGCCUCCCAGAAGCAACCUUCCAGAACCUUCUCCAUCCUCCCACCGACCUCCCCAGCCCCUGUCCUCUCUUUGAAUCUCGUUGUCAAGUUCUUCCCGCAGACACCUGGCUCCUUGAGGGGAGGUGCAGCUUUCAUCUGACCAUGCAGGCGUGCUUUGCAGUGGGUAGAGCAGUGCUUUCCUCCUCCCAGCUGCACACUGGAAUCACCUGGAGAGUCCAGAAACUUCCCGCCUCAGUGAAAGAACAUCAGUGUAUCAGCACAGCAAAUAUUCCAAAUGCCAGGCUGGAUUCCCUCCAAUUACCAGGACCUCCAGGCUUCUCCUCCUUUCAAGAACUUUCUGACCCUGGAUCCAGUCUAAAUGUUGGUUAUAAACUCACCUGACAUCCACAGGGCCCUUCCAAAAUACUGUCAAGGCUGACUGCUGGUGCCUGGAACCUGCACACCCUCCUGGGACUCUGCAUCUCUGCUGGGGCUGGUUUCUCCUCUGAGCCACCUUAAGGAAUCCCACCCUGACCCGGUCAGAGCUCACCAUGCCUCCCUCUCCUACUUGCUCAGCAUUUUGUGUCUAUCUAGACUGAAGCCUUUGCUUUCUCUCUGUGAUUAUGGUGAAAGUUCAGUUUGCUUUCCUAUCUCUAGAAUGUCAGCACGAAGGCAGAGGCAUGGUCUCCUGAGUUCCAUAACCCCAAAGCCUAACUCCCUGCCUGCCACACUGAGGGGCUUAGUAGACAUUGACUUACUAAAUUGAAUAGUUGAGUAAUAAUGCUCUUUGAAAUAAUUUGGAGUUAGAUCUUGAGCCUUGUGUGGCCAGAGGAUGGGUGAGGACACAUCAUAAAAACUAAAGGUAACUGAGCAUGCCAGUGGUUGGGGUGAGAAAUUUGCAUGGAGCACUCCAGACACAGAGGCAGCAAAACCCAAGUGCUGGGAAGUCAGAGUGAGAGAGUGAAGGGGCAGUGAGUGCUUCUUUAGGAGCUGGAUCAAAACCUAAGAUGAUCUGGCCACAUGGUGCAGACUGAGCACACACUUGGGAGAGAAAUGGGCCAGGAGGAGAGGAGAGAGGUUCACCACAGGACAGUGGAUGACUGGGAAUAGAAGCCCUCCCCAUGGUGGACCAAGAAGUCUGUGAAGCUGAGAGAAAGACAAAAGAAAUCACGACUUCUGUAGGUAGCUGGGAUGGAAACCUCAGGGGUGACAGGGUCUUUAAAGGAAAUCUCAAGGAAGGCAUCAUGUUCUGGGUGUGCUCCAGGGAUGCUGAGUAAGAAAAGACCAGCCUUUCUGUGUGUGUCUUUACUCUGCCACAAGGCACCUGGGCUCCUAAAUGACCAAUACACAUGUGCUAUACUGGUGCCAAGAAAGAAGGGUGUUUUGUAGGAAAGUCAAGGUGAGAGGAGGUGCCCAGGACUUGGCUCCUUUCUUUGAAGGGUGACGGUGUAAAUUCUCCAUGCUGGGGAUCCUACUGAUGGAUGGAGGCAUGUCGAUCUCAUCAUUUCACAGAGUGGGGAGCUAUGGCCACAACGUGCCUAUCACACAAGUCCAGCCUCACGUCAGCUGGACACCAGCUGUUCUGACACUUGUCAGCACAUGGGGCACCCGGAAGUUCAUGGUGUUCUGCAAAGAACGCCACAAAACAGUGAGCUCAACUUCUUGAAAGUCAUAAUGUGUUGCUAAGUCCGAUCCCAGAUCCUAAAAAUAAUAUGAGGUAGUGGCCAUUGAACAGAAAAAAUUUACAUCUUAAACUUGAAGAUAAGUACAAGUGUACCUUUUUCUACCACUGUUGUUCAGUUUUAUUAUAUUGACAAGCACCUCUGCCCACCCUGUGGGGUAAAACUGUUUGAAAGUGUUUAUGAAAGUUUUAUAUAAAUAUUGGUUGAUCAAAUGUACAAAAUAUGCAUGAUGGCACCAUAUUGUGUAUAAUAGUGACAAAUACAGUCUAUGUGGGUGGAG